UAAACCUGAGAAACCCAAAAGAUCGAAUGGGGAGAUUCAUCGUCAGCGACUUUGGCUUCCGUGUGGAUGCGAUGAUCGGGGCCACGGCUCUGUGUCACGCAUUCGCUGCGGUAUGUCCNUUGUCGUCGGUGUGCACUUCUCCCCUAGUAGGACGUCGCGACCCGUUGGGUGCCGGCCUACGGCCGGAUGGUCGACUGUUUCGUCGCGUUCACGCUGCACGGAACAGACCUCUGGUUGCCUGGCCGGCUGUCCGGGCGGUAUAGAUCGCUAUUAAACGGUAUUGGGCCGCACUAAGUGCNUUCUGGCUCGUCGGCAGGCUCGGCUCNCUCGGAUUUACGGACCUAGUGCGUUGCCGGGUGCUUGUCGCGGCCGUUAGUCGACGAUGUCCUCGAACAGGCUCUUACAUUCGA
rnacentral:rRNA from 1 species